rnacentral:rRNA from 1 species
AUGCACGCUGGCGGCGUGCCUAAUACAUGCAAGUCGAGCGAACGGACGAGAAGCUUGCUUCUCUGAUGUUAGCGGCGGACGGGUGAGUAACACGUGGAUAACCUACCUAUAAGACUGGGAUAACUUCGGGAAACCGGAGCUAAUACCGGAUAAUAUUUUGAACCGCAUGGUUCAAAAGUGAAAGACGGUCUUGCUGUCACUUAUAGAUGGAUCCGCGCUGCAUUAGCUAGUUGGUAAGGUAACGGCUUACCAAGGCAACGAUGCAUAGUCGACCUGAGAGGGUGAUCGGCCACACUGGAACUGAGACACGGUCCAGACUCCUACGGGAGGCAGCAGUAGGGAAUCUUCCGCAAUGGGCGAAAGCCUGACGGAGCAACGCCGCGUGAGUGAUGAAGGUCUUCGGAUCGUAAAACUCUGUUAUUAGGGAAGAACAUAUGUGUAAGUAACUGUGCACAUCUUGACGGUACCUAAUCAGAAAGCCACGGCUAACUACGU